UACAGAAAAUCCACAAAAAAAAAAAAAAAAAAAAAAAAAACAUCUCAGCAUUGGAGGACAAAGGCAUGCUCCGGCCAUACAUCUGGGAAACACUCUAAACCAACAUCCUGGUAUAAAUUUGCAAAACGCAAUACAGGCCGGAUUGUGCGCGGGACGGACACGGGGCGCAUACAAAUGGCCCCCCGUCUAAAUACCCCCUGUUUCUCUUCGGCCUCAGUAGGAGAGCCUGCGUUUUUUACCGAAGGGAGAAUAAAGUUUCAAGUGCAUGGCAUUUGAAGGUAAGGGAGUGAAAUUGGAGGCUGGUCGUUGGGGAUAAGGCAAGGCUGGGAAAAGAGGGAA